rnacentral:lncRNA from 1 species
UUUAGAAUAAUGAUAAAAACUUUUGAGAGUUUGCAUAUUAGUAGAGGAAGGAGGAAGACAAAGUUCAACCUUUAAAGAAAUUUUGUUGGUAUUUUAACAUGCUUAGGAAUGAAAAUUCUACCAUAAGAUGAUAUCGAAAGUCAACAUUUUCAUAUUUUGUUAACAUUGGAGAAUUUGUUGAAGAAGGCAUUGAAAUCGGCAAAAUUAGUUGAAAAAGGAAUUCAAAUGGGAAAAAUUAACAAGACCCUAAGACUGGAUAGAUCUUCAGGACUCAGUAAAAAGAAGAUACAAGAUAAAAUAAAGUAUCCUUCAAUCCUAAUGCCAACUCUAAAAUUAGAAGGACUCCAUAUCUAUCCAUUUACUCUUUACCUCCACAGAACCCCAAACCUAUCUUCUACACCAAACCUAAUACCAAUCACCACAAAUAUAACAACCUAUUUUUGGUUAUUUUUUUUGAAAUAUUAAUUUCUAUGUUAUUGACUAUUUUACCUCUACAAGUUGUUACUUUUUGGUAUUAUUAGGGUUUGUGGAUAUGUGGCAGUAUUCUCGAUGAAUUUUCAUGUGAAAAAUGUGAAAUUAUGGUUUUU